UAAAGUUUUCAUCCUCUAACAGUAUAUUUUUCUUCAGCAAGUCUGUUUUAUGUGUGUUACACAAACUGAAAGAAAUAUAUAAGUGAAAUGCAUGCUCACAUUGUUGUCAUAAUUUAUUUUACGCAUAGAAGGUCAAAAUUGUCUCAUUCUCGUUUUUGAUCUGCAUGGACGGCUCACCUUGGUUGUUGGGUUUGCUUGCCUGUUAACUCUUUAUGAAAUAGAACCUGAGCGGUCCUGAUGUUCCAAUAUUUAACUCGCUUUAUCUAUUGAAGCAGCACAUCACUUACUCGGGGGUUGUUUUGAAGUCUUCCAUGUUAGACAGUUUUUUCAAGAUAUACUGGCAUAAGCAUCUCUUGAAUACUGGUGUGGCAUUGUCA